AUGGACGAGUCCUUGGAGCUAUCCCGGCAGCACAGGGAGACACGCAGCGGGGCAGCUGGUGACAGUGACCCGGAGCAGCUGGAGGAAGAGCCCUCACCUGAGGAGCAGCAGAGCCAGACCCCAAGAGGUGGCACCCCUGAGGGUAUCAGGGCGGUCCCCACUUCCCAGCGACGCGCCAGGAAUCUGGAGGUGUGGAUGGAGAGAGAGAGGGAGAGGAGUCGGGACAGGACCAUCCUGCAGAGACCCCCCCAGAUGCGGCCGCUGAUGCUGGAACCUGAUGGAGCCCCUGCUGCUCCCUCCAGUUCCCCAAAACGCAGCACCUACCUCAGCCCCUGCUCCUCUUCUUCCCGAAGUGCCACCAAACCAGGUAAGACACCCCCCUCCCUCUCUGUCCCUGCCCCAGUGCCCCCCAUGGCACCCCUCCUGGUGCCCCCCAGUCCCUGACCCCCCCCGUAUCUCCC
rnacentral:lncRNA from 1 species